UACGUAGGGUGCAAGCGUUGUCCGGAAUUAUUGGGCGUAAAGAGCUCGUAGGCGGUCUGUCGCGUCUGCUGUGAAAUCCCGGGGCUCAACCCCGGGCUUGCAGUGGAUACGGGCAGACUAGAGUUCGGUAGGGGAGACUGGAAUUCCUGGUGUAGCGGUGAAAUGCGCAGAUAUCAGGAGGAACACCGGUGGCGAAGGCGGGUCUCUGGGCCGAUACUGACGCUCAUGCACGAAAGCGUGGGGAGCAAACAGG
rnacentral:rRNA from 1 species